AUUAAUUUUGUAUACGAUUAACAGUAUAUUAACAGGUACAUACAUCAACUGCAGUAUGAUAUGAAUAUGGUUUGAAGGAAGCAGUUUGAUCUGUGAAGCACAAACAGUUUCACAUAUAAGGAGACACUAAGGAGAAUGCCAUCCACCAAUUAAGAGUCUUCAGACACCAGAAAUCAUUUUGAUGUUCAAGCAAAGUCCAAACUGUAAAUAUGAACUAAUUGUAGAGGACUGAUGUAAUACAAUCCCACAUUUGCAAGUUCAAAAAAAUAAAAGAAAGUUGUAAUAACAUAAUUUUUUUUACAGUUUUUUAUUGUGUGGAGGUGCAUUCUAGCAUGGAUGGCAAUUAGAGUCUUGACUUGUUAAAUUAAGCUGCAUUUUACUGUGCCAUAUUCAACUAUUUCAUAUCAAUACAAUUCAUUUUAAGAUACAUAUUUUGAUACUAUUGAAUCAUCAAUGCCUAAUCAUCUGUGGACUUUGUUUAAAAUAAAGUUGCAAUAUUUGCCUAAACUAAGAGCCACUGUUACAAUUUUGCAACGUUUUCACAAAAUCCUAAAAAAUCCCAAAAAUGAAAAAGUCUCAUUGUUUUCUUGAUUAGAGGCGUGGUAAAAACAGUUUAAAAAGGAAAAAAAAUUACAUCAAUAUCAUCAGUGCUUGGGUUUCAGAGGGUUAAAUCUUACAGUGUGCAAAGAUCACAUCUAAAAUAAGUCAGUAAUCAAAUAAAACUGUGAGAAAUAUAUUAUCUAUAUAAUAUAUUAUAAUUAAAUGUCAGACUCAAAUGAAUGCAUCUUUUCAUGCUUAUUUGAUAAUAAUUGUGUAUUUGCAUACAUUUAUUCUUUCCUGUAGAAAGAGUUAUUGGUGGGUAGGUGUACAUUUGUUUUCGGGUCCUUUGAAGAAACUGCUGAGAUGUCUAGUUAUUUUGUCUUUUACAGUUCUAAUUAAGGUUAAUUAAGCUCAAUUAGAUCAGUUAACUAUGGUAAUAUCCUUUCCUUUUCUAGCAUUAACUUUGAAUGAACUUGAAUGACCUUUGUUUUAUAAGAUACUGGUACAUGGAAGAAAUGACUCUUUCCUGUAUUUUAUGUUUUCUCUCAUUAUGACCAUGUAGUGUUCUCGGAAAAUUACCUUUGAAGUGUCCACACAGCACAACGGGAUGGAACUGAUUAAAAAUGUAAUUAGAAUUAAAACUGCAAAAGCAUUUGAAAAUUCAGCUUAGUAAUGGAAAUAAUCUUUGUAACAGUGUUUUUGGCAUAUGAUAAAUUCCGGUAGCAGUCUGUUAUAAUUGGGUUACAUUUUGAACUUUUCAUCACAAUUUUGGCUGUUUUGACUCUAUUUAAAAAGGUAUUUUGAAUGUUUAACUGAAAGUUAUAGUACGCUGUAUCACACUGACCAAAAAUCACAAGAUGGUUAGUCUUUGGUUUUUAACUUCGAUAGAAUUUAACUUUGAAUCUGUUUGUCAAAUUUUCGCUAUUCUUUUGUUCCGUCCUGCUUACAAGUGAAUUUUGUUACCAUAGCAACGAAAUCUUUCUCAGUCUCAAGUUUUUUAUAAUAUUGUUCUGUGCUGUAAAGUGAUUAUACAGAUGAUAAUGUGUAGCAUGUGGCAUUUCUUAUUUUUUCAUAAUGAGGAAAAAUCCUAUCAAAUUCCGUCCUGUUAUGUUGUUAGAACUUUUGGCUCAGACCCCUCACCUUUCAUUAUGGGGGCAUGUCCAUUAAAUGAAUGAUAACAUAUAUUAAGCUGUGAGUCUGCAAGGGCUAUCAUAUCAAAAUGCAAACUAGAGACAUAUUGCUAGUUAAAAAUACCAAAAAGAAUUGGUCACCUCGGGUGGUACCGAUACCUGAAAUUUUGGGUCCUGGCCCAAGGACUAUUUGGUAUCAGGAACUGGCUCCAACUUUGGACCAAUUUCAAGUUUUGAUUUAAAAAUUAUGAUUAAGAAAGUUCAAUUUUGAUUUUGCUUUAUCAGUUCCUUUAUAAAUUCCAUGCUAGUUUAUAAACAGUAUAUGCAAACAGUGCCAUUAGUUUAAUUCUCUGGGUUGGUCAUUCUCUCUAUUUUUACCUGGCUAAAAAUCUGAAAUCGGUGAGAUUUUCACCAAUAGCCUUUAAAGAGAGACUGCAGCAAGCUCCAAACAGAGCAAGUUGAGAUCUACAACAUUGUACACACAUCCUAAUCCUACAUUGCAUCCUAAUCUUUGAUUAGGACUUGUUGUUGGGUAGUAGUCAGACUUUGUUUGCGCAGAGCACUUCCUGAUGUCACUCUCUGAGUUCCAGUAGUUGGGUGGUUCCCUCUGUUGUUACCAGAGAGUAACAUGGGACACUUCUCAACAAAUUUUGACAGAUCCCAAUCAGAAGCUGCCACCUCACAAGUGGGCGGACUUGUCCAAAGGCGUCCAAUCAGAGGCUGUCCGUUAUAAGGCGGGCUAUAGUAUGGGGUCCAAUGAGAGACUGCCGCGUCAUAGACUACCUCCCUUAGCCCCGCCCCAUCCGCCAUAUUUGUAGUUUUUUUUUUUUUUUUUAAAUUUAAAACAGGAAAUGACGCAUUUAAAAAUGCCGGAAAUGAUCGUUUUAAAAAAUUAUUUUUAAAACAAUAAUAACAUGGGACACUUCUCAUCAAAUUUUGACAGGUCCCAAUCAGCAGCUGGCAUGUCACAAGUGGGCGGGACUUUGUCCUAAGACAUCCAAUCAGAGGCUGCCAUCGUCAUAAGGCGGGCUAUAGUUUUGGGGUCCAAUGAGAGACUGCCACGUCAUAGAGUCCCUCCCUUAGCCCCUCCCCCAUCCGCCGUAUUUGUAGUUUUUUAUUUUUAAAAAGGGGAAAUGAUGCAUUUAAAAAUGCUGGAAAUGAUCAUUUUAAAAAAUCAUUUAUAAAACAAUAAUAAUAAAAUUCCCGUGUAACGGUCAUCCAAUGAGGCGUGAGGGGAAGGGUGAAUGAGAACCAAUGAGAAGAGGAGUAUGGGGUCUUCUUCAUAUAUAAAAGCCAGUAGGCCUCUGUGUAGGCCACACUGUUGAAUAGAACUCACCAUGGCUCAGAAAAUGUUGGAUGUCCGGGUCCCCGAGCGAGUGGCAGCGGCAAAUCUGAGGCCCUGCCGCGUCCGGAGCCAGCGGUCAUCAGCGAGACGCCCAUCACCAUCUUCCGUGAGAAGCCCUCGAUACUACGAGGUCCUAGGAGAACCAUGAUGUACUUCCACCGGACCCAGGUGCCCCCGGCUUAGUCUCUGGAGGAGGAACAGCCCACGGAAUGCCUGGAUCCUGGGGCUACGUUUACAAGUAUAAGACGGGGGAGCUCUGCUUCUAUCAGCUGGAGGAGGGUGAAACGCCGAGGCCCCUAGCUGUCUCAGACAUGCUGACCUCCAAUAACUGGAGCGUACUGAAGAUGGUCAUGCAGCAGCAUCUCCGAGAGACUUCUCAGGAAAAUAUAGCCAAGCCUGUACCCACUAAAUGGCUGAGGUUGGAAAACCUCCCCGCUUGUACAGAGGUGCUCCUGAAACGAGCGGUCUUCAGCAUGGUAUGGCAAUCCAAUGUAGUGGGGUCUGGUAGAUGGUACUUCAGAAUCACCCUCUGAUCAAUGGGGAAGAAGAAACCUGCAGAAUUCUUUGUUUUUGUUGUUGUUGUUGUUGUUUGUUGUUGAGACUUGCAACCUGCGUACUGAUCAACAUGAGCGCGGUCAACCAGCAGCAACAGCAGCCCCAAAAACAUCUCACACCGACCGCUAUGCAGCCAGCGUGUUACCCGUGUCCCAGAAGGGUCUUUGGUUCUGCUGACUCUUAGGAGGAGGAUUUGAUGGGGCUUGACAGCUCUCCAGAACCUAGCAUACCGACCCUCUUUGCAGGCUGUUCUGAGCCAGCUCCUCCCGGAUACCCGGCAGCAUCAGCAGUAGCCCCAGCAGCAGCAUCGGCAGCCCCAGAAGCGGCACCACCACCACCACCACCACCAACAGCAGCAGCAGCAACAACAGCAACAGCAGCACCCCCAUCACCACCACCAGGGGAGGGUAGCGAGGGGGGUGAGGCUGACGGGCUGUUGUCAAAGGCCUUCUUCAGCGUGGUGAAAGCAGCCAUACUUUAUCUCCUCGAAAAGUUCUGGAAACAUACAGGGAGAAUUGCUACGGAUGUCUACCGACCAUCCUAGCCAGAAAGAGCACCCAUGCCUGGAAACAAUUACGUCUCAUUUCUACCAAGACUUUUACACCAUCAUCAGCAAGCUCUACGCUCCCAACUUUAUCCCCACCAUCCAGCACCUCUUAACCCUGCAUAACUUCCGCACGGAGGAGCAACGCAUCAGAACUUCUGCUGGAACUGUUUUGUUUGACCUGAGAUCAGAGGCGUACGUCCAGCAUACCAUCAACGAUAUGUUCUGCACUCUGAUGAAAAACCACAACACUGUCAAAUUGGCAGACCUUGCAAUGGUGGCCAACAUAUGGAAGCAACCCGCAACACCUACAACACCGUAAAUACCUGAAUAUCUGAAGUGAUGGGGAAUUACGAGGUAAAGCUUGUGACUGAAGUGGAGAUACACACGACCCUGUCUCAUCUCAUAGAACUCUUGAGUCAAGUGACUGAGAACAGAAUUUCAAUCGGUAGAAAACUGAACACAUUGAGGGUUACAGCAGAGGACGUUGAGAGACUGGAAAAUAUGAGGGAGAUGGUUAGAACCUACUCUUUUUCUCCACCUUAGGGUGAGAUUGUACGUCAUACCGUAUCUGUCAGCAAUCCUGAUUUGUCAGAUACCUUUAAAGACAUUUUUUUUUAAAAAUUUUAAAUUUUGCAUCAAGUAAUUUUUUUUUCUGUACUGUUUUUAAAAAGCACUACUUUAGUACUUGUUUCAUAAAAAACAAAAAAAAGUUGUCAAAAAUUUUUAGCAUGUUUUAUAAAAUGUUUUGCUAUUUGUUGAUGACCUCCUGAUGAUUUGUUUUUUAUUGUUUGUCAAUAAAAAGAGUGAGAAAUAAUGAAUCUUUAUUUUAAAUGUGUGCAUUUCCUGGUUCUUUUCCAAAAACUUUAGAGAAACCUGCGAGCAACGUGUCUGAUAGAUGCAUCAUGAAAAAGCUGUACAAUCCACCCUCAGAUAUAAACAAAUGAAAGGUGUGAGGACAUAUGCCGGCUCUGCCUCCAAUAACAUAUAUAUCAUACACAUAUCACAAAUUUGGGGCUCAUAAAGGAUAUCGCGAACAAAACCAGCAGACUCACUCUGCUGGUUCAGUGGGCAGUAGCUAACGGGGUUUGACCCGUAACACAAUAAAGACAGUUCAUACAGUGUUGUAGUUGUACAUCUAUUUAUUGUAGAUACGUAGGCAAUAUUUGUUUCCUAGCAAACGCAGGCAGCAUUUGGACUAUCCGCUUGGGAGUUAGUUCAUAGAUGCUGCUGUCCAAGGAAGGCUGUGAUUGUAAUGCCAGUGUCCAUAAAGAUCUGUUCCAAUAUCUUGGCUACCUUGGUCCUCUCCAGUUUUUUGUAGUGUAAUAUUUUUUGGAUACGAUGUGCUAUACGUAAAAGAUUAGACUCAGGAUCCACUCCAGUUGAUCCAAUCCGCAGCCAAUGCUGUGAACACACAGCAAGAGAGGAGAGACAGUCAGCCGUUAAUACCAUUGAUACUAUGAUACUAGGGAUACUACAUCGUUCACAUACCGAGGCAUCGACAGCUUGUGUACUCCAUUCCAUAUACAAUGUGACCUCAUGUCCUCAAGGCUGUGUAGUAGACUGUUGUAUGUGGGUUUAUGAAAGGCUCUUUGUUUUGUAACCUGGAACAAGAGACGUGUAUAUAGAGGUUUUGGUAACACAACCCAACAUAGCCAGAUAACAAGCACGACAGAUCAAAAUGAGUGCAGUUGGCACAUACUAGAUAGUAGAUGAAAUGGUCUUCUCUCAGUAGCACAGCACAGUCUUGCAAAAAUUGCUGUUUGUACCGAAGAUGUAUUUAAAAUGUUUUAAGAUAUCUUUGUUAUCUGUCAGGCUGUAUGCUAUUGUAAAGUGUAUAGGCACUUACAUUGAAUUUCUGAAACAAAUUUUUAAAGUUAAAAACGUCUUGCAUGCUCGUUUGUUUUUUAUUUUUCCUCUCUGUCUGAGAUGAUGCUGAAGAUGUGGGACUAAUCAGAGAACAGAGGAAUGGCACAGGGAAAUUACACUGAAAUGUUAGGAGUGUACUAGGAAUAGAUUCACCUUAGUGAUUGUAGUAGUACAAAGUAGUACAACAGACGUACAAAUGCAGUACUUAUUCUUUCUGUUAGAGUUGAAGCCGUGUAAUGUUAAUUCAUUGUAUUUUGUAAUUUGCCUAAUAACAGUAACUGUCACAAUAGCCAUAAUUUUUUACUUUAUAUCCCUUUUCCAGAUGUUUGUGAAAGAGUCACCUGUUAUUUUUUUGUCCUAUAGCCCACAAUUGAUAAUAGUUACAUUUUCUAAAAUGAGAUUUUACGUUGGAAUGAUUGCAUUUGAUGCCUCUCUGUAGGCUUUUAAAGGAAGUAAACAUCAGCUUCAGAAACUUUAUAUUUAAACCACCCCUGAAUUUAUAACUUCGAGUGUUUUCUCCAUUCACCCUUCUAAAAACGAAGGAGCAGCAAAUGUAUUAAUAUGUAGAAAACCAUUAAACAUGAUGUGCCAUAAUAUAUUUUCCCAUAUUUAUGAUAAAGUUGUGUUGGCCCAUACUUCAGAGUCAAUUGCUGAGUGAUGACUUACUGUAAGCCUCGGGUUAAGCAAGCCAGAUUCAGACUUCUCACCUGUUUUACGUAAAUCCCUUUACAAGAUACAGCAAUGACAAAAAUUCUCUUCAAAUGGUCCCAUCUUUUCUUUACUUCACAAAUUUAGUGUGGGUGGUUUUUUUUUUGUUUGUUUUUUUUAAGUUUCAUUCUUACUUUCUGCAGAAAUGCAGAGCAGGACAUUUCUUUACAAAAACAAAAUGGAUCAAUACUUGUUGGACAAGAACUUCUUUAAAAAGAUUCCUUUUCUAUCACAGCUCUGUAUGUUCUUCAGUCUUUGUAAGUUUGCUAGAUGAAUUGAGCAUGUGUGUGCGUCAGUUCUUCUUCAGCCAAGUCCUUGUAUUGCUAGUCCAAGUCACAUCCACUGAAGUGUAGCUCUUCAUGUGCCUACGUCUGGUUUGGCUGCACUGAUUAGCAUUUCGACGAUUUUUUCCUUCAUUAGAUAUUUAUCUACCUGAAUAUUUAUUUUAUUUGUGAAUCUUUCUAUCAAUAUAUAAAGACAUAAUAGUUACAUAGGUAAAUAUAUUGAAGAGGUACUGCGCAAGAAGAACAUUUACCCUACCAUCCUUCAAGUUUAUUUUUUCCUUCAAGCAAAAAAAGAUGUAAGGUAAGUUGCAAUACUUUCAUUUUCUAAAACCUCUAUGUAAAUGCUAACAAUUUAUAAUGAUUUUGAAUUUUUUUUUGUCCACUUAAAAAGUAAACAUGUAGCACCGGCAUGGUAUACAAGCAUGAUUUCUAUUCAGUUAGUUUGUAAAAUGAUUAGAACAUUUUCGGUUAUACAUCUUUUCAUACAAGCAUCAAUGGAAUCAUGUAAUUUAUUCAUUUAAUGUAAGUUGCUGUAUUAAUACACUUAAAUAUGUUUUGUUUAGAUGGGCUUUUUUUGACCUAUGCAGUAUAUUGCACAUAAAAUAUUACUAAAUAUUUCACAGGAAAAUGAGACCCAGAAAAGUUUGUCCUGAAAUGGAAGCUUUGCACUUCAUUGCUUCUGGGGAAGAUAAAGACUCUUUUCAGAAAAAAUUCAUCCAUCAUCAGAAAGGUAUGGUUGCACAUGUUGUCAAUACUAUAUGUCUGUUCAAAUCAUAAUUAAAACUCAGUUUAGCAGCUAAUGUAUUUUCAUGCAUGAAAUUGUGUAUUAACACUGUGCUAGUUAUGAAAAUGUACAGAACCAUUUUGCCAUGUAAGCAGCCUUAAAGUAGUUUAGGCAGAUGCAAAAUGUCAAUUUACUUAUUUGCUCUCUUAUUUGAAAUUAGAUGGGAAGAUCUGUUCCACUUAACAAAACACAUGAGAAACAAACAAAAUCCAAUAUCCGUCAUGUUAAGCUAAAUGGGUGUCUGAUUUAAUAUUUACAUCUAAAUGUGUGGGAAGCACUGAUAUUCUGAUAGAACUCAUAGCAAUAAAAAACUGAUAAGUUUUGCUGCACUGUUAUGAAAAUGCAGAUACUGUAAUUCUUCUGCCUCAUAGUUAAUGUUAAGAUAAAGAUAAGAUAAAGUUCUUUAUUUCUCCCCACUCCAGGGGAAAUUUACAUUGUUACAGCAGCUUUAUUUACAAUAUAUACAAGGGUGAAAAAAAAUUUUUAACAGAAAAAAUAAAAAUAAAGUUUAAAAGUGCAAAGAUGUGCAGUGCAAGAAUGUCAGUGCAAAUUUUAUGGUUUGGGGUGGUAAUGAUAUAGUCCAGUUUAUGUUAACAUCAGCCAGUGAUGCUGAUGUUGUAAAGUCUUAUAGCAGAUGGAAUGAAGGACCUGCGAUAGCGCUCUUUCUUGCAGGGUGGAUGUCUCAGUCUGCUGCUGAAGGAGCUGCUUAAAGACCCCACAGUGUCAUGCAGUGGGUGAGAGGGAUUGUCCAUGAUGGAUGUGAGCUUUGCCAACAUCCUCCUCUCACCCACCUACUCUGUGGAGUCCAGGGAACAGUCCAGGACAGAACCAGCCCUCCUGACCAGUCUGUUUAGUCUCUUUCUGUCCCUUUCAGUGCUCCCUGCUCCCCAGCAUACCACUGCAUAGAAAAUAGCAGACGCUACCACAGAGUCAUAAAAUGUCCUGAGCAGAGUCCUGCACACUCCAAAGGACCUCAGUCUCCUCAGCAGGUGGAGACAACUUUGGCCCUUCUUGUACAGGACCUCUGUAUUGUGUGUCCAGUCCAGUUUAUUGUUGAGGUGAACACCCAGGUAUUUGUAUGUGUCCACCAUGUCAAUGUCCAAACCCUACUUACAUCUUUUAUCUAAAUAUUUACAAUGACAAGGUUUCAAAGUAUUGUUAAUAGUGUAACUGCUGACCUAUUUUCUGUUGGGUGUGCCUGCAACGCAUGAGCAUUUACUAAAUUUAUACACUAUAUUUUCAAAAGUAUUCGCUCACCUGUCUUGACUCGCAUAUGAACGUAAGUGACAUCCCAUUCCUAAUCCAUAGGGUUCAAUAUGAUGUCGGUCCACCCUUUGCAGCUAUAACAGCUUCAACUCUUCUGGGAAGGCUGUCCACAAGGUUUAGGAGUGUGUUUAUGGGAAUUUUUGACCAUUCUUCCAGAAGCGCAUUUGUGAGGUCACACACUGAUGUUGGACGAGAAGGCCUGGCUCUCAGUCUCCUCUCUAAUUCAUCCCAAAGGUGUUCUAUCGGGUUGAGGUCAGGACUCUGUGCAGGACAGUCAAGUUCAUCCACACCAGACUUUGUCAUCCAUGUCUUUAUGGACCUUGCUUUGUGCACUGGUGCACAGUCAUGUUGGAAGAGGAAGGGGCCAGCUCCAAACUGUUCCCACAAAGUUGGGAGCAUGGAAUUGUCCAAAAUGUCUUGGUAUGCUGAAGCAUUCAGAGUUCCUUUCACUGGAACUAAGGAGCCAAGCUCAGCUCCUGAAAAACAACCCCACACCAUAAUCCCCCCUCCACCAAACUUUACACUUGGCACAAUACAGUCCGACAAGUAUCGUUCUCCUGGCAACCGCCAAACCAAGACUCGUCCGUCAGAUUGCCAGAUGGAGAAGCACGAUUCAUCACUCCAGAGAACGCGUCUCCACUGCUCUAGAGUCCAGUGGCGGCAUGCUUUACACCACUGGAUCCGACACUUUGCAUUGCACUUGGUGAUGUAUGGCUUGGAUGCAGCUGCUUGGCCAUGGAAACCCAUUCCAUGAAGCUCUCUGCUGAAGCACUAUUCUUGAGCUAAUCUGAAGGCCACAUGAAGUUUGAAGGUCUGUAGCAAUUGACUCUGCAGAAAGAUGGCGACCUCUUCGCACUAUGCGCCUCAGCAUCCACUGACCCCGCUCCGUCAGUUUACGUGGCCUACCACUUCGUGGCUGAGUUGCUGUCAUUCCCACACACUUCCACUUUCUUACAAUACAGCUGACAGUUGACUGUGGAAUAUUUAGGAGCGAGGAAAUGUCCCGACUGGAUUUGUUGCACAGGUGGCAUCCUAUCACAGUUCCACACUGGAAUUCACUGAGCUCCUGAGAGCGACCCAUUCGUUCACAAAUGUUUGUAAAAGCAGUCUGCAUGCCUAGGUGCUUGAUUUUAUACACCUGUGGCCAUGGAAGUGAUUGGAACACCUGAUUCUGAUUAUUUGGAUGGGUGAGUGAAUACUUUUGGCAAUAUAGUGUAUCAUACUAUUAAUUUAUUCUUAUUUAUUAUCUGUUCAUCAGGUUAUGGAGUGAUUGCCACUAAAAACAUUGAGCAAGGAGAAUACUUGCUCGAGUAUGUUGGAAGACACAUCACUGGAUCUGAAGGGGAGGCAGUGAGCUGACAUUGCAGCAUUUCUGUACUUCUGCUGCUUUCAGGGACAAUGGGAAGAUUAAAUAAAUGGAUGUCCUAACUUAAGGUAUUUGUUGCAUUUUGUUAAAUGUUUUACAACUGAAAAAUCUUUCAUCAUGUAGCAUUGAUGGCAAUAAACAUACGGCACGACUCCAAAGAUUCAUAAAUGAUGAUCACAUCAAGCCAAACAGCAAAAUUAAAAUAGUACGUGUGUCUUUGAAUUGUUUCCUCAUAAUAGCUUUACUCAUAUCAUUUGUGCAACCUCAGAUGAAAGUAGCAUUUGGCAUUUUAGUUAUUUGGUGUAAUAGAAAAUUUAUUGUUUGUGUGUGUGUGACCCAAAGAUAUUGGAUGAGCAGAAAAUGCCACAUCUGUGUGCAUUUUCAAAAUGAAAUAUCAGUGCAGGAGAAGAAAUUGUGUAUGACUGCAGAGACCUUGACUGCCUUUGGAGACGGGUAUUUCUAUUUCUAUAUUUUUGCUAUUCUAUCAUUUAAUUGAGCAAUGUGGAUGUUUCUAAUCCUCACCAAAAUUGUUCUUAAAAAUUAUGAAAAACAUUGUCAGUGAUAUAGUAAAACACACUUUCAAUUACUGACAUCACCCUGUUGAUGUAAUUUGUUUGAGAAAACCAUUACUUCCUCAUGCAGGGAGCUUCAGGAAAAGUAGUAAAUCAAAGCCCAUGUGGUUUAUUUAUUUUCUUUUUGCAUGCUGUACAAAAUUUGAAAUGAUGACAAUGCUUAAUGGUUGUUUUUCUGUAUUUUCAAGGAAUCACGUUGGAAGAGUUCAUGAGAAAACUUUGACUGUAAGCCCGGCGUGAUGAAAAUUCAUGCCAAUUAUUCAUGUUGUUCACCCUAAACAACAAGGAGUGCAGACGUCAAUCAGGAAAUUUACACCUCAAGAGAAAGCAGUGUGCAAGUUCUGGAUUCGGCGUGGUGCACAAGAGGCAAGGCAGACCAUGGGGAACAAUCUUGGUGUGAAUUCCCAGGUUUUAUUCUCAGGUUCAGCAAGGGAGGCAUGUGUUGGAGUGACUUCCUUCUCUUAUUUCAUCACUGCCUUAAAGGAAGAACUGCUGCAGAUGUGCUUGUCAUUCACUGGAGCGGCAAAGACCUCAGACAUGUAAAAAGUAUCCUGAUAAGUAAAGCUAUGAAGAGAGACCUGUGAGACCUCCAUGUGCAAUAUCCUCACAUGAAAAUAAUACUUUCCUCAAUUAACCAGAGGCGCCACUGGAGACAUGCCUCACCAGUGAAAGUGGAUAAAGUGUGAAAGUUUGUAAACAGCGUGAUGGCAGUUGUGUGGUAAUUUUGGUUUGUGUGUUCAAGGGAGCAUUAUUUAUCAUACUGAAAUAGUGUUCAGCAAGCCUGAACUAUUUUUGAGAGAUAAAGUUCUUUUAAGCCCUCAGGGAAAUUAUCUAUUUUUAACUAAUAUUGCCCACUGUCUGAGAGACCAGAUCCAUUUGACCAGAUCCAACUGCUGACAAUAAAAACAUUCCUCCGAUGUA